GACAAACGCUGGCGGCAUGCCUAACACAUGCAAGUCGAACGGGACACUCGUUUUCGGAUGAGUGUUUAGUGGCGAACGGGUGAGUAACGCGUGAGCAAUCUGCCUUUCAGUGGGGGACAACAGUUGGAAACGACUGCUAAUACCGCAUAAUGUAUGGGGAGGACAUCCUCCUGAUACCAAAGAUUUAUCGCUGAAAGAUGAGCUCGCGUCUGAUUAGCUAGUUGGUAGGGUAACGGCCUACCAAGGCGACGAUCAGUAGCCGGACUGAGAGGUUGAACGGCCACAUUGGGACUGAGAUACGGCCCAGACUCCUACGGGAGGCUG
rnacentral:rRNA from 1 species